CAGUCCAUCCUAACCCCAGCCGGCCCGCCUGUGGCAGGCCUCAGCUGUGGCCCAGAGCUCUCUAGAAGCCUUACCUUGAGAAGUGAGCAGGGCUCCUGUGGCCUUGUGCCAUGGGAGCUUCUGGACAUUU